AAAAUCAUAUAAAAUGUAUGAUGAUUCAGGAUGUGGUCAUUUGAGACCUGUUCUGUGGAUGCCCUUAGACAGUGUGUCUACCCAUCACGCCAUCUGAUAUCACUUGUUCUGAGCAUAUUUCUCUCUCAAACUUAAACUACAGAGAGCCUGUGGAUAGAGGAUGAAGAGUGACCUUGGACUAAUUUUCUAGGUCAAAGAUCAUAGGUGAUGUGAAGGAAAUACCAGGGAACUGAUGUUGAAAGAAGUACUUAAUGACGCUUAUGAAUGGACUUAAACGUGAA